GAUGAACGCUAGCGGCAGGCCUAAUACAUGCAAGUCGAGGGGUAUGGGUUGCUUGCAACCCAGAGACCGGCGCACGGGUGCGUAACGCGUAUGCAAUCUACCUUAAUCAGGGGGAUAGCCCGGAGAAAUCCGGAUUAACACCGCAUAACAUUGAGUUGUGGCAUCACAGUUCAAUCAAAUAUUUAUAGGAUUAAGAUGAGCAUGCGUGACAUUAGUUAGUUGGUGAGGUAACGGCUCACCAAGACCACGAUGUCUAGGGGAUCUGAGAGGAUGACCCCCCACACUGGUACUGAGACACGGACCAGACUCCUACGGGAGGCAGCAGUAAGGAAUAUUGGUCAAUGGGCGCAAGCCUGAACCAGCCAUGCCGCGUGCAGGAAGACGGCCCUAUGGGUUGUAAACUGCUUUUGUACCGGAAUAAACCUUCUCUUGCGAGAGAAGCUGAACGUACGGUAAGAAUAAGGAUCGGCUAACUCCGU
rnacentral:rRNA from 1 species